GACGGAGGGUGCAAGCGUUGCUCGGAAUCAUUGGGCGUAAAGGGUGCGUAGGCGGCUUUUUAAGUCUGACGUGAAAGCCCAGGGCUUAGCCUUGGAAGUGCGCCAGAAACUGGAAGGCUAGAGUGCCGGAGGGGAGAGUGGAAUUCCUGGUGUAGCGGUGAAAUGCGCAGAUAUCAGGAAGAACACCCGUGGCUAAGGCGGCUCUCUAGUACGGUACUGACGCUGAGACGCGAAAGCGUGGGGAGCGAACAGG
rnacentral:rRNA from 1 species